rnacentral:rRNA from 1 species
UACCGGCAGCUCAAGUGGUAGCCGCGAUUAUUGGGCCUAAAACGUUCGUAGCCGGAUAAGUAAGUCUUUGGUUAAAUCCUGCGACUUAACCGUGGGAAAUCUAGAGAUACUGCUUGUCUUGAGACCGGGAGAGGUUGGAGGUACUCCUAGGGUAGGGGUGAAAUCCUGUAAUCCUAGGGGGACCACCUGUGGCGAAGGCGUCCAACUGGAACGGGUCUGACGGUGAGGGACGAAACCUAGGGGAGCGAGCCGGAUUAGAUACC